GCUGACAGCAGAGGAAAUCCUGUGGUUUUUGCUUUCCCUGCUUGUUGUUCAGAUGUGAAGGUACAGAGGAUGCCUCAACCCUUGAGUGAGCUCAGCUCUCACACGAGGCAGAGAGAGCACAAGCGAUUGAGCAAAAUCAGUCCCUGACUCCUGUUUCUGAUCUCAGCCUCCCCUCUGCUUGGACUGGGAGCUGAAGCAGGAAUGUGGUUUUGGCAAACAACCUUAAAAAGUAAAUUACUUGCUCUGUGGACUGAAAAUCACACUCUUUCUCCUCUAACCAGCUCCUCUCUGCAGGGAAACAAGCUGAUAAAUGAACAAGGAAAGAGACCUGGCCUCGAGAGCUUAGCAAAGCAAGGAGGUGGUGGGUCAUGGAGGCUGUUCCUGCAGGUUGGUGAGGCUGCAGCUCCUGCCCUGCUCUCACCCCAGAACCAGCCUCUGUCUCUGGAGAGGAGAAGAGGGAUUUACCACAUAAAACACCAUUAAGGACUUUGCUUUAGAUACCAGCAGAGUGCACUUUGGUGGCCAUAAGCCAAAUGAUGUGUAUCUAUUAUGUGUGUACGUAUGGAGCAUAGAUAAGCUUGUUGCAGGUUCUCUCAAGGCAGGCUCUGCCUCCUCCCAGCUGGAAGGGAGGGAACAAGCCCACAGCCUCUUGCUCUGUGCCUUGCCCAGAGCAGGCUCCCUGGGAUGUUGCCUGUGCUGCUGCGGGUCUGGUGCUGCCAGCUCAGGAAGGUGAUGCUGCCUGCUCCCAUCCCAGAGCUGCUUUGGGUCCAGCCCAUAUCCCUUCCCAAAAUGAUGGUCUGGCAAUUCCAGCACCCUUGUGUGCCCUGGGCAGAACAAAGAGGGCUCUGGCUCCAGGGCAGAGGUGCCAGAGGGGUUGCAGGUCUCCCAGUGAUGCCCUGCAUGUAUUUAAACCCCUCCAGUCAGCAGGCAGCAGAAAUAUCCUUUCCUUCCAAAGCUCCAAGUGACUCCUCCGUUCUCUGCCUGUGACAUUUCCAGGAGGGCCCUGGCUGCCACGCAGGUCUCUGGCCCUCAACUCUGCCAGAAAAAAUGAUGGUGUUUGGAGCUGGGGUUUUGGCUCAGACCCAUCUUGAGCAAUAUUGUUCCUCUUGUUUUCGAAACCAUAAUGCACUGCACUUGGUGGUGAUGUCAGGUACUUGUGGAUUGUAAUUACUGUGUAACCCAGCAGCCUGGAGAGGGAUGUCUCAGGAGGGGCAGCCUGAGGGGAAGGAAACUUAGUCCUUUAUGAAAUGCAGAUGUUUUUAAAGGGCUAUAAUUAACUGGAUUGGAUGCAGAGUAUUGAAAAUAUAAAAGUUUAACAGGCUUUUGAUUUUAAAUAUUUGCUGUGUACUUCCAGGGGUCACUCAGCUCUGUAGUGCACGAUCUCAGUCCUGUCCGUGCUGCCCUCAGAGUCACCCUUGUGCUUCAGGUUCAGACCUUGCCCUGGUGCUUUUUCUUAUCCACCCAAAAAACUGAGGAGCACCUAAACUCUCUGUGCAGGGCUGUGUCCUUCAGCUGUGUCCCUCAGCUCCUGGGCAUGGCACAGGCUGGAAACUGGCUUCAGGACGAUGUGGAGAAUGAGGCAAGAGGGGCAGCAUGGAAAAGAAAAACAAAACCCCCCAGCGCUCGUAGCUGAAUAGGAGCGAGCUCUCCAACCCCAAGUUAUGAAUUUUGUCAAUGAAAUUAGCCAACAAUGUUUGGGAAAGAAUAAAAAUAAAGCAGUGAGGGCUCAAAGAAAAACCAGCCGAGCUCUGGGAGUGAAUGGGGGCUUUGUUCGGGCUCUGGUCCCUUCAAUAGGCAGCCUGAAAGCCCGUGAGUCACGGCGCUGCUGCCCGGGUGCGGGGCCUCCCGGAACGGCCAGGGGGAAAAUCCGCCCCGCUCCCAUCCGACAGCUGACCAGCAACAGAAUAAAGUUAAUUUACUGCUAAAGUUAAUUUGCUGGGUGAGAGAAAGGAAACGAGAAGCAUGUUAUAAUAGACGCAGCAGCAGAGAGGCUGCGGGAAGUGUCGGAGCGAGGGCUCUCCCCCGUGCCGGGAUAACGGGGCCCGUUGUGGCUUUGGGUCCCACGGUGCCUCAGGGUCUGAGAGAUGCUACUCACUUCCAAAAAUUUAGAAAGGUUUAUUAAAAAUACAACAGAACACUGAAUAGAGAAAAUAUUACAGCACCGGGAGCAAAGGAUUUUUCCCACCAUGUGCUCACCCACACAAUGGAGGUUUUGCCUUUUAACCCUUUGGCCCCUCCCAAAGUUCUGUGCAUCGACUUUUUCUUUACUGCCCAGUGGUGGAGAUCACUUCCUUACAUCUUGAUUGGAGGUCAGGUGCUGCCAUAGUGACAAAUCGACCCUCCCAAAUGUCCCAAACCCAGGCUGUCCCUUGAUAACAACACAAGGGGGUAAAACUAUAUAAAACUUCUCUUAACAUACAUCCAUGAUAUUUGCCUGUUAAUUGUGAGAGUCAACCAUUGCAUUACUCAUGUAUCACAAGGGCACAGCCCAGGGAUCCCAGUAGCACUCUCUGCAGGGAGAAGCCACCUUCACACGGGAACGCCCUGGAGCAGCAGUGGUGUGAUGCCAGCGAAGGGAUGCCCUGCCUGGGGACAGCCCUGAGCCUGGCACUGGGGACAGCCCUGAGCCUGGCACCCGAGCCCCAGAUCCGUGUCAGUCCCUGCUGGCUGUGAGCCCGGGAUGUGUUUUGGGGGUGUGUUUUGGGGGCUGCAGCACAGGCAGGGGCAGGCAGCACCUUGGCCACAGCAGCUGUGGUUUGCCCACGGGGUGGGUGGGCUCUGUGGGGCUGCACAACGGGGCGCAUUCCCAGGCUGUGAUUUCAUCCCCAUCCCUGGCCAUACACUCCAGCCUCUGGAGAGCCAGGAUAUGCUCCCUGCACAGACCUGUGAAGGUGAGGAUAGCACGGGGCGGGGGGAACAGGGACCAUUUUGUGCCAAACCACUCCUGUAUGUAACAUGGGGCUCUGCAGCACAGGGCCCUGUGCCUGGUUUGGUGGGAGUAGCUGCUCUUUCCAAACAAAGGGCUCCUUUCUUCCCAGCAAGCAGAGGUAGCUGGUGUGAGCUGAAUACAACCUGCCUCCAGCCUUUGUUCCGUGCUACCUCGCCCAUCCCAGCACUUGGUGCUCGGCAUUGGACAAAUAUACAGCAGGAAAGAGAUGGUCCAGCCUCCACAGGGCUUGGAGGGGCUGCCUGGCUUUGUCCCACCACUUCAUCCAUGGCCUUUCCUAGAGCCAGGGAUGUCCCAGCUGAGGGUGGUGGCUGUGCAGGGUGAAGGACUCCCCUCCUGGCACUGGCUUGGUGUGCCAGCAGCCGUGCAAGCACCUGCCCCCAGGCUCCUGCUCCUGCCCUGUCCUGGCCCUGGGCACAUCACCACGCUGCCGUGCUUGCAGACAGGCACAGCUUCUCUUGGGAGGAGGCUGCUGAGCAGGGGAAUUAGGGCACUGCUGGGGCUGUCAGGCUGGGGACUGGGGCUGCAGCAGGGGGAGCACAGCAAUGGCACUGCUCAGCCUUUGAAGGUGGAAAGCUGGUGCCAAGAGUCAUGGACUGGUGUGGAUGUCCAGGCUGUGACCCUGUGCCAUGGGCUGGUGUGGAUGUCCAGGCUGUGACCUUGUGCCAUGGACUGGUGUGGAUGUCCAGGCUGUGACCCUGUGCCAUGGAAUGGUGUGGAUGUCCAGGCUGUGACCUUGUGCCAUGGACUGGUGUGGAUGUCCAGGCUGUGACACGGUGCCGUGGAAUGGUGUGGAUGUCCAGGCUGUGACCUUGUGCCAUGCAUGUCCAGGCUGUGACAUGGGGCCACAACGCAGUGCAGACAUCCAGCUUUGACAGGGCUCUCCUGUGGUCCGAAGUGCAGAUGUCCAUAUCAGCUCCCUCACCAUGCCAGCCGGUAUCUAAUGAAGCAGAGAGGCACCAAGAUCAUUUCUGGCUGACACAUCACUUGGGAGGCAAUUUUAAUGUUCCCAGCACCACUCGGUGAUGACAUCUUCUUCCCCUCUCCAAAGUGUUUUCUUGUGAUAAUGUGGCAUUGUAUCCUGAUGGUGUGUGUGUGUUUUGCUGCACGUGGGCAAGGCUAGAGAGGACUUCUCUAAGGACGCAGCAGUAUCAUUAGCAGGUCCCUGGGUGGCUUCCCAGUCACCUUUCCAUUAAUCCAGUUCUGCAUCACAGAAUUACGAAGCGGCUAAUGAACAGCUCCAGCGCCGGGAGCCUGGAGGUACCGCAUUAACCGGACGUCUCUUUGAACUGUCUGAUUUCUGGUGGGAAAACUUCAUGGAAAAACGAGAUUGUGUUUGUUUUCACAGCCUUCUGCAUCUGUUUUUAAAUAUUUGCUCACAGUAGUUCUGGGCUUUUUUUUUUGCUCUUUUUUUUUUUUAUUAGCAAUUAGCCUAAUAAGGCACCUUUUCAUUGCUUUGCAUGUAGAUUAACCACUUCAGAGAGUACAAAAUAAACAUUUUGCAAUGCAUGCUUGUA